rnacentral:rRNA from 1 species
GACGAACGCUGGCGGCGUGCUUAACACAUGCAAGUCGAACGGAAAGGCCCUGCUUUUGUGGGGUGCUCGAGUGGCGAACGGGUGAGUAACACGUGAGUAACCUGCCCUUGACUUUGGGAUAACUUCAGGAAACUGGGGCUAAUACCGGAUAGGAGCUCCUGCUGCAUGGUGGGGGUUGGAAAGUUUCGGCGGUUGGGGAUGGACUCGCGGCUUAUCAGCUUGUUGGUGUGGUAGUGGCUUACCAAGGCUUUGACGGGUAGCCGGCCUGAGAGGGUGACCGGCCACAUUGGGACUGAGAUAAGGCGCAGACUCCUACGCGAGGCAAGAGUGGGAAAUAUUGCACAAUGGGCGGAAGCCAGAUGCAGCAACGCCGCGUGCGGGAUGACCGCGUUAGGGUUGUAAACAGCUUUCGAAUGUGACGAGCCGGGAGUGACGGUAAUUGGUAAAGAAGCACCGGCUAACUACGUG